CCUACGGGUGGCUGCAGUGGGGAAUAUUGGGCAAUGGCGCAAGCCUGACCCAGCAACGCCGCGGGAAGGAAGAAGGCUUUCGGGUUGUAAAAUUCUUUUAAGCGGGAAGAGGAGAAGACGGUAACUCUUGAAUCAGCCACGGCUAACUACGUGACAGCAGCCGCGGUAAUACGUAGGUGGGAAGGGUUGUCCGGAUUUACUGGGUGGAAAGGGCGUGCAGCCGGGAAGACAAGUCAGAUUUGAAAUCCCGCGGCUCAACCGCGGAACUGCAUUUGAAACUGUUUUUCUGGAGUACCGGAGAGGUCAUCGGAAUUCCUUGUGUAGCGGUGAAAUGCGUAGAUAUAAGGAAGAACACCAGUGGCGAAGGCGGAUGACUGGACGGCAACUGACGGUGAGGCGCGAAAGCGUGGGGAGCAAACAGGAUUAGAUACCCUGGUAGUC
rnacentral:rRNA from 1 species